rnacentral:lncRNA from 1 species
CUCAUUUGACCUUUUGAUGAAUCAGUAGCCCCACAGAUACCCGACUGGAAUAAUUUAUAUGGAUGAAAGGACAUUUACGCUCAGGUUCAUAGCUAAACACAUGAAUUACGCUUUCACAAUUAUAAAUUAUUUGUUUCCUCUAUGGUAGCUUCUUACGUUAUGAAAGAAAGCUCUUAAAUGUUAUUAAUAAGUAUCUGUGUUACCUGUGAUGCCUUUCCCUACAGUCUCUCAAGGACUCAAAAUCUUAUCUCAGGUGAAACUUUGAAGAUAUAAUUGACCUGUACGUUCAUAGUUAAGCACAAGUCAGUCAACGUUAUACUAUCCAGUUUAGAUGUUUGUGUAAUGAGUACUUUCAUCUGCUUCCUUUGAUGUAUAACCGAUUAGUGACAGCAGCAUAAAUAUUCAUAGCAUUUUCCUACUGGACAGAAUCUAGUCCAACUUCUAUGUUUUACAGAUGAGACUAAAGAGACUGAGAAAUUAAGUGACUUGUCCAAGAUCACGUAACUAUCUUCAAGUUGAGUGGUAAAUCUAAGACUAGAACCCAGGGCUUAUUAUACCUUAAGCAAUAUGAUGUCUAAGGCAGUGUUUCUCAAUGGCUGUUGAGACCCAGAGCCUUGUUCAUAGUGGGUACUCAAUCACUAAAUGCUGACUGUCAAUAGAUUUUAGUACAGUGUAAUUUCUGCUAUGACAUGUGUACUGAGGAAUCAAAGAAAAUACUCAGGAGUUAAAUUUUUAAAAAC